rnacentral:rRNA from 1 species
UUGAAAGGGAAACGAUUGAAGUCAGUCGUACCGACGGAAAAUCAGCUCUUCGAGUGCGAACUUGUGGGCGUACGUGAGCUUUAACGGGCCUUGUUGUUUGCGAUGUUUGUGCUUUUUGGGUGUACUUUUUCGUAUGGUAGGCCAACGUCAGUCUCGGUCACCAUAAAAUGGUCAGAGGAAUGUAGCUUCGAUCUUGUAUUGAAGUGUUAUAGCCUCUGGUGGAUGUGGUGAACGAAACUGAGGAUUGCAACGAAUACCCUUCGGGCUAUCCGUCUGACCUCUGAAAGUUGCUUGGGUGCCGAAAGCUUGCUUACGGUCAUUCAUGAUGACGGUCAAAAGGUUAGAACGUGAUUACAUUCGUUAAGGAUGUUGACGUA